GGUGGCGUAGUGGUUAAACCAUUUGGCUGUUAAUCAAAAGGUUGGUGGUUUGAAUCCACCAGCCA
rnacentral:tRNA from 1 species